AUUAUCUAACCACUAUGGAAUAAAAAUAGAAAUCAAUAAUAAGAGGAACUUUAGAAAUUAUAUAAAUACAUAAAAUGUAAACAAAUGCACCUGAAUGAACAAAGGGUGAGUGAAGAAAUUUUAAAAAAAAUUUUAAUGUCUUGAAACAAAUAAAAAUGGAUAUACAACAUAACAAAACCUACGGGCUACUGUGAAUGCAGUACCAAGAGGAAAGUUUAUAGCAAUAAUUGCUUACAUCAAAAAAAUACAAAAAUUUCAAACAAACAAUGCACCUAAAGGUGCAUGUUAAAAGCAUUAUUGAAAAUAUUAUUGGACAUAUUACUGAAAAUGAUGCUUUUAGAAUUGCAUUGAGAAUAUAUUUGAUAGGAUUUCUACCUUUAAAAAUUUGAUGAGACUUAUUUUGUGGCCUAACAUAUUACAUAUUCUGGAUAAUACAUAAUACAUUUAUGUAUUCUGGAUAAUUCCAUGUGCUGAUAAGAAUGUGAGCCUGAGCAACAUAGUGGGACCCUGUCUCUACAAAAGGUAAGUUCAAGUUGGUCUUGAACUGCCUUUCCCACACUGGAAUAGCAACAGCCAAACCCAAUAUUAUUAGAAGGAAAGCAGUAAUAAAGAUCAGAUCAAAAAUUUACUCCAAAUACUGAAGAAAUUUUUAGAUAUAAACUUCUGUAGACCUCAGUGAAGCUAAUGAGAACACAAAAUCUUUUAAAACAAGAUCACAAAGAAAAUCACCAAAUAAAAAAUACAAAUGAGGCCAGGCGCAGUGGCUCACGCCUGUAAUCCCAGCACUUUGGGAGGCUGAGGUGGGCG
rnacentral:lncRNA from 1 species